rnacentral:lncRNA from 1 species
UUUUACUCAAUUAAUUCCACGUCUGCUAGCGGUUUGUGCCAAUUGCACGGCUUUCCCGGCUGCUCAUAUCUAUCCCCCACCAAAUCAUCAUUGUUUAUAUAAAAAAAAAGCCCCAAAAAUUGAAAACCCUAGCCGCCGCCACGCAACCACCGCGCCCACCUCUCCACCGGUUGUUUACCGUCGGCCAACACACCCACCAACCUCGUUAGCCACUGCCGACCAAGCUGCAACCAUUACCGUCCUCAACCGCAGCCUGUAAUCGCCGCGAAAAUCACCCAAAACUCGCGGCUGCACACACGCACCACCACAGAUCUUGUUGCCUCAUCGUCGACACCACCACCAAAAGCAUCCCUAUCCUCUGCCGACUAAAACCCGACCGCCCUUUGCCCCUGAACGUUGACCAUAAACCGCAUGAACAACCAUCAACUGCCGCCACUUCAAUUCACUUUUCCAGUUAAUCCGAGACGAUUUGAGCCAAAUCACCACCACCAUUGUGCUCAGCGACAUCAAAUCUUCCAGAUCUACCUAUCCUUGACCAAUUUCCGACCACCGUUACCGGAAACCUAAACUUUUGCAUAAUUACCAUUUCACCCGGUAAUUUUAUUCAAUUUUGAGUAUAACCCCAAUUCUUUUAAAACCACCCUCUCUUACCAUCUUCCCUCCAAAUCACGGCCACACCCAAUGAUAUCUAGUGUUUUCUUACCCAAUUAUGCUUCUGCUACGCCACUCCAUCAAUUGAUAGAUAUCGUUCUAGAACUGAACCAAGCCAAUGCAAUUAGCGUACGCUCUAAUCGAAGCAUAAUUAGAUUUCAUUCUAAUAACGCGCAAUGCGAAAUUAUAUGACGCUCUAAUCCAAACGACUCUAUAAGAGAGAUUUUGAUAGAUAAUAGAUGACGUUCUAAUCCAAACAACUCUACAAGAAUUAUAAAAAAAGGGUUUUUAUUGAAUAAUUAAAUUUGAAAUUAUGAAAAAAAAAAUAACAAGACAUCUCUAUUUAUAAUAGAGGAAACCCAGUUCCUUAAGUUAACUUAAAAAAGAAAAGUAAAUCACAAUCAUAAUGGAAAUAAAAUACUAAAUCACAUACCAUAAUAGACUCCAAUUAAAAUAGAAAGCUCUAAAAUAAUAAAAAUUUAGAAUUCUAUAAUACCUAAAAUAACUUCCUACUUCAGACAAGUUACAUGCAACUUAACAAAUCGAAUAAUAGGAUGUUUAGGUUCAUUACCUUGAAACCAAAAGCACCUGUGAGGAAAUGGUUUCACCAUAAACUAGGAUGGAAAUCUGUAGUAUGACGAAAAGUUUCUUCAGAUGAUAUCCAUGUUUCAGGCAAACCUAAGAGAAUUUUGGACAUAUUUAUGGAGUACAAAUUGAAUUUCUACUACUGCUAACUUAACCCUAUAUUCUCUACUUAAGCGUCUAUUAUGUUUAAGCUCUUGGUUCUACUUAGAGUUAGGGUUCAACGUGUUCAAGAAAGUAUUCGUAGAGUUUACGUGCACAGAAGGAAGAAACAUACGAAC